GAUGAACGCUAGCGGCAGGCUUAACACAUGCAAGUCGAGGGGUAUAGUUCUUCGGAAUUAGAGACCGGCGCACGGGUGCGUAACGCGUAUGCAAUCUACCUUUCACAGAGGGAUAGCCCCAGAGAAAUUUGGAUUAAAUACCUCAUAGUAUAGCAGUUUCGCAUGAAACCACUAUUAAAGUCACAACGGUGAAAGAUGAGCAUGCGUCCCAUUAGCUAGUUGGUAAGGUAACGGCUUACCAAGGCAACGAUGGGUAGGGGUCCUGAGAGGGAGAUCCCCCACACUGGUACUGAGACACGGACCAGACUCCUACGGGAGGCAGCAGUGAGGAAUAUUGGACAAUGGGCGCAAGCCUGAUCCAGCCAUGCCGCGUGCAGGAUGACGGUCCUAUGGAUUGUAAACUGCUUUUGUACAGGAAGAAACACUCCGACGUGUCGAGCUUGACGGUACUGUAAGAAUAAGGAUCGGCUAAACUCCGUGCCAGCAC
rnacentral:rRNA from 1 species